UACGGGGGGGGCAAGCGUUGUUCGGAAUUACUGGGCGUAAAGGGCGCGUAGGCGGCCUUCUAAGUCAGACGUGAAAUCCCUCGGCUCAACCGGGGAACUGCGUCUGAGACUGGAAGGCUUGAAUCCGGGAGAGGGAUGUGGAAUUCCAGGUGUAGCGGUGAAAUGCGUAGAUAUCUGGAGGAACACCGGUGGCGAAGGCGGCAGCCGGGACCGGUAUUGACGCUGAGGCGCGAAAGCCAGGGGAGCA
rnacentral:rRNA from 1 species